rnacentral:rRNA from 1 species
CUGAUGGAUGGACCCGCGGUGCAUUAGCUAGUUGGUGAGGUAACGGCUCACCAAGGCGACGAUGCAUAGCCGACCUGAGAGGGUGAUCGGCCACAUUGGGACUGAGACACGGCCCAAACUCCUACGGGAGGCAGCAGUAGGGAAUCUUCGGCAAUGGACGAAAGUCUGACCGAGCAACGCCGCGUGAGUGAAGAAGGUUUUCGGAUCGUAAAACUCUGUUGUUAGAGAAGAACAAGGAUGAGAGUAACUGUUCAUCCCUUGACGGUAUCUAACCAGAAAGCCACGGCUAACUACGUGCCAGCAGCCGCGGUAAUACGUAGGUGGCAAGCGUUGUCCGGAUUUAUUGGGCGUAAAGCGAGCGCAGGCGGUUUCUUAAGUCUGAUGUGAAAGCCCCCGGCUCAACCGGGGAGGGUCAUUGGAAACUGGGAGACUUGAGUGCAGAAGAGGAGAGUGGAAUUCCAUGUGUAGCGGUGAAAUGCGUAGAUAUAUGGAGGAACACCAGUGGCGAAGGCGGCUCUCUGGUCUGUAACUGACGCUGAGGCUCGAAAGCGUGGGGAGCAAACAGGAUUAGAUACCCUGGUAGUCCACGCCGUAAACGAUGAGUGCUAAGUGUUGGAGGGUUUCCGCCCUUCA